GAUGAACGCUGGCGGCGUGCCUAAUACAUGCAAGUCGAGCGAAGCGGGGACGGGUGAGUAACACGUGGAUAACCUCCUAUAAGACUGGGAUAACUUCGGGAAACCGGAGCUAAACCCGAUACUUUUAGAUGCAUCCACGCUGCAUUAGCUAGUUGGUAAGGUAACGGCUUACCAAGGCAACUAUGCAUAGCCGACCUGAGAGAGUGAUCGGCCACACUGAAACUGAGACAGGGUCAAGACUCAUACGGGAGGAAGGAGUAGUGAAUCUUCAGCACGGGGCGAAAGCUAGACGGAGCAAAGCCGCGUGAGUGAUGAGGGUCUUCGGAUCGUAAAACGUUGUUAUUAGGGAAGCGGAACCUAAUAAGAAAGCCCCGGCUAACUACGUGCCAGCGGCCGCGGUAUUC
rnacentral:rRNA from 1 species